rnacentral:rRNA from 1 species
GAGUCUUUUUUCAAGUGGAAGUCUUCUUAUAGCUGGAGUACGUAAGGAAAAGGAAAGGUUAACCGCUGUCAAA